AGGAGCAGGGAGGGGAACUAGUACUUUACUUUAGAGAUACAGCAUGGAAACAGGCCCUUCGGCCCACUCAGUCCACGCCAAGCAGCAUUCACCCCGUACACCGUAGCAUUAUCCUACAC